AGAGCGAACGCUGGCGGCGUGCUUAACACAUGCAAGUCGAGUGCGCGCCUGUAGCAAUACAGGUGGCGCACGGCGCACGGGUGCGUAACACGUGGGUAAUCUGCCCUUCGAUGGGGAAUAACUCCGGGAAACCGAAGCUAAUUCCGCAUAACAUUCCUUGGACCUCGGUCUGGGGAUUCAAAGCCGUAAGGCGUCGGAGGAGGAACCCGCGCACGAUUAGUUAGUUGGCAGGGUAACGGCCUACCAAGACUUUGAUCGUUAG
rnacentral:rRNA from 1 species